GGAGAAUCUGGUGAGAAUCAGUUUAGUUUUUUUACAACGGGGAGAAGACGAUGAUACUUUCCAGCUUCAAAAGCUUCUUUAUUUAUUAUUAUUUGAGCUCCUUAUUCCACCCAAGCCAUGGUUUUGAGGUGAUCCAGCCACCGAAUAUGACUAAUAACCCAGAUACGGUUUUCAUCAGCUGUAACUUUACAGCAAACACCUGGAAAAUUGUAGAUGUUCGACUCAACAAAGUUUUACCAGAGAAAAAGGAGGUGCUCUGCCAGACUGAAUCUCAAGCCUGUCAUAACAUUAUCGUACUUAAAGACACUCCACCCAAGUACAUUUUCAUCUUACUCAAUGUUGGGCCAGAGGAUUGGACCUCAAAGUAUGAAUGUGAGUGUUCAGCAACAAAGACGGAUGGGACAGACAAAACCAUGCUAAUUGCAGCGAACAAAUUAAUUAAACUGCAGCUACAAGAUCAAACUACACCCACGCUACUGAUGAAGCUGACUGGAUACUCUGUGUUGCUAAACGUGUCAACUGGGAACAACACCACAGUGUACUCCUCCCCCUUCACCUCCUCUUCCUCAGUCCCAUCAGCUCAUGUGGAUUUUGAUUGGUUUGCUGGCCCUGAUGUUCGUGUACAGCUGUAUCAUCACCUCCUUCUACAUGAGGCUUAUGAACAGCAGCAAAGAUUGCGAAAACUCCACCUAUGUUGAAAUGAGGAACGUUCCAGUUCAGCUGCAUCCUCACCACAUUUACAAUACUAUGCAAAAGGCUUGAGCUGCCCCUCAUUUCUUUAUAUCUUAUUAGGAAAAUGGGUAAUAGGUUCAGCAAUGUAUUAAAACAUGUAAAAAUACAUGGAAAUACAGUAUCUGCAGUAUAUACAACAGUCUGUACAAUUCUAAGGAACUUUAAAUAUUUCACAUAACCAACUUUAUUCUUCUACAUAGGCUGAACUCUCAAAGGCAAGAUUUCUUAUAAUGUCUGUAAGUAGUUUUCAGGAAUAGCUUCUUAAGUGUGGGGGGGGGCUGCCUGCCUUUAUUCCAUUUUCCAUUAAGAUAGUGUUGAGGCCCAGACCAUGACUAACAGUUUUCUACCCAGAUACGCUUUUUUUGGAUUUCUCAAUCCAUACGACCUGUUGACACUGACUGACUAGACUGUAAAGUAGGCAUUGAUUAAAGUAAAACUUUGAAAGACCUUUAGAAAUCUUAGAGAACUGCUGAUCAUGACCAGUUUAAAAUGUUACAAGAAAGUUUAGCUCCUUAGAAGCAAAAUAUAAAGAAAUGAGGGUAGCUCAAGACUUUUGCACAGUACUGUAGCUCACUCAUCUGUCUUCAGUAUCCUCAAAAAGAAGAUGUGAACAGCUCAUAUUGUGAUCUCAACAUUUUGUUCUUCAGUAUUUGACAUUUCAUUAAGUUGUAUUGUGCAAUAGUAGAAAACCUGUGCGGUACUGAAGUAAAGAGGGGGGUGAACUGACCUCUUAAAGACACAGGGUUUCAUUGACCCAUGAUAUUAUCCAUUAGUUUAAUCUUUUUCAGUUAAUGAUUUUAAAGUCUUACUUUAAAUCAAAUCAAAUCAAAUCGCUUUUAUUGUCACGUCACAUGUGCAGGUACACUGGUACAGUACAUGCGAGUGAAAUUCUUGUGUGUGAGCUUCACAAGCAACAGAGUUGUGCAAAAAUACAAUAACGUAAAACAAGCAAAAUAUAGGAAUGGCUAAAUCUGAAAGUAAUAAAUAUAUGUACAAUAUAUAAGAGUAUAUGCAUUACUGCAUUCUUUAUUAAAAGAAUGUCAGCUAUUGAUUUGAUGUAAUUCCUCAAAAUAGUAAGUGUGGAUUGUACAUCUAGCAUCGUGGUUGGAUUUUGUCUCUGACAUGUUGAAACCUCAUGAUUCUUCCCUGCUCUUAGGUCUUCAGGUCAGAGGUCACUGUUGGGCUUUUCACGCACCAAAGCUGUGGUAUUCUCUUCCAUUGUCUUUACGCCGUGCAGACUCCACUGACUCUUUCAAAAAGCAGCUUAAGACAUUUCUAUACAAACAAGUUUUUAAUUAAUUUUCUCAUUGUUUUGUUUUAUUUAUAUUUCUGGUUUUAUUGUGAAGCACUUUGUGAUUUUUAUCGGUAAUAAGUCCUAUAAAUACAUCUUACUUACUUACUUUUCUAAAUCUUCAAGGAAACUUUCCUUAAUCUUCUAUUCAAAUUACAAUAUUUUAUACUAUGUUUUGCGUAAUUUCCACAUGCUUCAGUGUUUCUGCACACGCACACAACAAUGGUACAAUUUCUAAUUAUUGCGGUACUACAUGCCUUAUUGCUAAUAAUAUUAUAUUUUUAUAAAUAUACCUCAAGCUCCCCAUUAGUGGCCAGUUUGGUUUCUGUCUCAUUGCUUGUAUCAUUUAAUGAUAUUUAUCCUAGUUUGCACAUUUCAAGCUGGAGAAAAUGUGCCCAUUAGCAGCCACAGAAUCGGUUCAAUAUCCUUUAUUAAGGAUAAAUGUAAUUGUAACCUCUUAGUUAAUCUGAACGAUAACAGAUGGCAGCCACCUGUUUUUUUGCUGGAGGGGAACAGAAAAUCAUUGUAUUUGUCAUCACAUGUAGCAAAUAUCAUACCUUGACUUUUGAAUGGCCUGUUGUCUUUAUGUGUCUUUUAUUUCAAAAUAGAUUUGUAUGGUUUCUUUUAAUCAAUAAAAAUUUAAUCUCUG
ensembl:lncRNA